rnacentral:miRNA from 1 species
UAGCAGCACGUAAAUAU